CGUAGGGGCUAGCGUUGUCCGGAAUCAUUGGGCGUAAAGCGCGCGUAGGCGGCCCGGUAAGUCCGCUCUGAAAGUCCAGGGCUCAACCCUGGAAAGCGGGUGGAUACUGCCGGGCUAGAAUCCGGAAGAGGCGAGUGGAAUUCCUGGUGUAGCGGUGGAAUACGCAGAUAUCUGGAGGAACACCAAUAGCGAAGGCAGCUCGCUGGGACGGUAUUGACGCUGAGGCGCGAAAGCGUGGGGAGCAAACAGGAUUAGAUACCCUGGUAGUCCACGCCGUAAACGAUGGGCACUAGGUGUGGGAGGUGUCGACUCCUCCCGUGCCGACGCUAACGCAUUAAGUGCCCCGCCUGGGGAGUACGGCCGCAAGGCUA
rnacentral:rRNA from 1 species